CGGCCUCCCAGACUGCUGGGAUGACAAGUGUGAGCCACCGCACCUGGCCAGGCCUGCAUUCUAAUACAGGCUCUGCAAGUAGAACCUCCAUUUUCUUAUCUGUAAAAUGGGAUGUGAUAACUACACCUGCCUCCUUGUCAUGUGGCUGUGCAAUGCAAUAAUGUAUGCAAAAGGGCUUUGAGAUUCUAAUAAGCUACAUGCACGCAAGGGGUUGGCAUUAUUAAUAAAUUCGGAUGCGCAGAAGCCCGUGUGCUGGCAGGGCCAGGGAGGGGAUGGAGGGGCACCACAGCCCAGAUCCCCGAUUAUGCCACUGCACAUCCUGUCUUCUCUCCUCCCUCACCAGCCUUUGAUUUUAUUGUAAUCUUUCCUCACUCCAUAGGUUCAUGUACUAACUCAUUGUUUUAUCUGAAUUCCCAUUUAAAUCAACUCUGUUUUCUGAGGGGAACCUUGGGGACGCAGGACGGCAGUGUACACAGUUGCAUGGUGAAGCUGAUCUGCUUGGUUUUCAUUUAAGCAGAGAACACUGGCUGGGUGAUAGGAGACCUGAACUCUGGUUUGAGAUUUGCCAUUUCCUAGUCACGUUUAACUGGAUGUCCUCGUUUUUAAAACAGGAAGCCCAGAUGAUCAUGGGUCCUCUUAUCAAACCAUCAGAUCUUGUGAGACUUAUUUGAGACAGUAUGGAGGAAACCGCCCCGAUGAUUCAAUUAUCUCCCACCGGAUCCCUCCCACAACACGUGGGAAUUAUGGGAGUACAAUUCAAGAUGAGAUUUGGGUGGGGACACAGAGCCAAACCAUAUCAGGUUCUCUGUGGGACACACACACAGAAGUUGCACAGAGAGAGUCUCCUUGUUUCCAUCCUUCAGUGUGUCCAUGAGACUGUGUCCGUAACCUCAUCUGGAGAAUCUACCCAACGUCCACAUUCGAGGUUCCUUGUUACUAUGAGCAACCCCACUUCCUCCCUCCAUAAGCUCUGCUUUUCAGAACACCAAGCCACCACCCUGCAGUCUGUCCCCUGUGCCCCGUCCACAGUGGGUGCCAGGUGAGUAGCAAACCACUUGGAGAAAGGCUCACUUUGGUCAACAGACAACCCAGGGAGAGUGUAAGUCAGGUCCAGACACCCUGCUGGCCACUCAUCCCACAAGGAACGGAGGUCACAGUCCUUCCCACCCCCCUUCACCCCGCCCCCACUCUGGCUUAUUUUCCCCAGUAGCACUUACUACCAUACCCUCUACUGUGUUUUCUCAUGUGAUUAUUUCUGUCUUCCUCCAACAUGAGGGCAGGGAUGAUGCUCACUUACUAGCUGCGUGUCUGCUACCAUUUAGCACUGUGCUGUGCGUAGUAGGUGCUCAAUAGCUGUCAAGCGAAUGAACAAAUGGCCCUCUCCCUCAAGGCACCAACCAAGCUACCAGGCAGGGGUGGUCUGUCCCCCAUGGGUGUUUCUCAGCCAGCCCCAGAGCCUGGCUCCCAGGCCCUUCCCUCUGCUAAGAUCAGCAGCCCAGGGGCUUGGCCUGCCACAUUCUGCCCAGGCUGAUGAAAGCAGCCAGUUUUUCUGCAGACACAUACCUCCCUCAAAACUGGUACCGACAGCCAGAUCUCCUUAAUUAGGGAGGCUCAGCCAAUGACCUAUGGCAUGAAU
rnacentral:lncRNA from 1 species